rnacentral:rRNA from 1 species
UACGUAGGGGGCAAGCGUUGUCCGGAUUUAUUGGGCGUAAAGAGCGUGUAGGCGGCUAGAUAGGUCCGUUGUGAAAACUCGAGGCUCAACCUCGAGACGUCGAUGGAAACCAUCUGGCUAGAGUCCGGAAGAGGAGAGUGGAAUUCCUGGUGUAGCGGUGAAAUGCGCAGAUAUCAGGAGGAACACCGGUGGCGAAGGCGGUUCUCUGGGCCUUACCUGACACUGAGGAGCGAAAGCGUGGGGAGCGAACAGG